rnacentral:rRNA from 1 species
GACAGAGGCCUCGAGCGUUAGGCGGAAUCACUGGGCUUAAAGCGUGUGUAGGCGGGCCCGUAAGUGUCUUGUGAAAUCCCCCGGCUCAACCGGGGAACGGCUGGGCAUACUGCGGGUCUUGGGCCGACUAGGGGCAGCCGGAACAAGCGGUGGAGCGGUGAAAUGCGUAGAUAUGCGGAGGAACACCGAUGGCGAAGGCAGCCCCCUGGGCCAACACUGACGCUCAGGCACGAAAGCGUGGGGAGCAAACAGG